UAGCGUAGCUAGGCUAUGGGAUGCUUUCUGGUGAGUGGGACGAAGUCUUAGGGGUCAAUUCACUGCCGUGCUUGAGCUGCAAAUUCCUUCAUUAAUUCAUCAUCUCAAACAUGCAUAUUUAGCGAUUCUUGUAUUGUAAUUCCCAUCCUCUUUUGCCCAAUUAAAUUGCAGUGAACAGUUGGCGUUCAUAUCGAUCGCGGCUGUUUCUAUCUUUCCGUUUGUGGCCUUGUAUUUCCUGUCUCAUCCCGCUGUUUCUGCUCUUGAUAACAGCAACAAUAAUAUCAAGAUUAUAAUUUCAUGCCCGCGUGGGCAGCUCAGUUGGUCAAGAAGGGGGCUUAAAGUGCCUUCCGUAGUGAAUCUUGGACCAAGACUAAGAAUUGAGUCUCGCAAGCGGCAGUGUGGGGGUACCUCUCUCCAAAGUGAGGGGGGCUUCUUGUGCACGGUGAGCCCGGGUCUAGCCACUGCGUCCGGCUAGGUCACCAUGAUUAACUCCCCCACGUCCUGUCGGGCCGGGUGUGAGGGGCGCCCGGGGUGAGCGAUUUCACCUUUUGGACCAAGAUUAUAAUUUCACCAUUUUUUUCUCCCCAUGAGCGUAGCACAGAUGGUUCACAGGGUAAAAGAUGACACCCAAAGAUGCAGGUUCGAGUCAUGGCAGCCGCAGUGUGGGAGUUUCAACCUCUUGUGGGGUGGUUCCUUGUGGGCACUAUGCACUGUGCUUCAUACUUGGAGCCCACCGUGUAUCGUAAUUAACUCCUCCCAUGUACAUAGAAUAAUGUGUGAGUAGCUCUUAAGGUGAGAGAUUUCACCACUUGCACCCAAGAUUAGUUGUCCCACGUCGUUUCGCUGCGGAAAUUCCGGACCACAGCUUUAUUUUCCUCUCUCCAAUAUCAACAAUCCCCAGUGCGGGCUGUGCACUGUGAUUUGCGGUAAUCACGAACAUCCUGUAUCAUAUAUCAAUUUUGGAAGUGAAGAAGAAUUUCAGAUAAUUGACAUCUCAUCCACGCCCAGCGGUAACGGCAGUGUUACAGUCGUCCAUGACCCAGAGUUCACAAACAGUUUACUUGCCGGCGAUUGCAGUGGCAUAAGGAAUUUCAGCAUACCCAAUUCUCCUUCUAUUUCCUUCACUAUCCCUCACAAUCUCACCCUCUUCAGGUGCAGGAAAAGCUCUCCACUUAGCCCUCCCGCACAUGAUGAGUAUUUCAACUACACAGGCUGUGAUGAUUUCAAUUUGUACUACAAGAAGCAUUUACCAGAUGAUCAUCACAACGUUUCUGCUUCUGCCGAUUCUUUCCAAGGCUGCGACACCAUUCUUCUGCCUUUGACUUCGACGCCAUCUAAAACUAAAACUGAACCUGGGCCAAACCUCAAACUGAUCCUUCCCUUAGGUUGUUUGAUGUUAAAGAAAAAGAGGAAAAUGCAAGCUUGGGGUUGGAAGCUCUUGGUGUAUAUUUCCUUUAUUUUUGUUGUAAAGAUAAUGCUUAAAGAAGCCUAGGCAUGUGCUUAUUUUAAUUGUGAUCUUAUGGCUAGGAGAGCCCAAUUGUUGUAUUUAAUCAUGUGUGAUAUUUAUUUUGGAAGUUGUUAUGUGAGCAACAAUAAGAUGUGUAAGGCUCAUGUGUGAGAUGGAAGGAAAUUUUGAUGUAUGUUGUGUAAUAUUCAAAGAUGUGGUUUAAGCCUUAUUUAUGGAGAA